AUACGAAGGGGGCUAGCGUUGUUCGGAAUUAUUGGGCGUAAAGCGCGUGUAGGCGGUUUCUUAAGUCUGAUGUGAAAGCCCCGGGCUCAACCUGGGAAUGGCAGUGGAUACUGGCAAGCUAGAGUGUGUCAGAGGGUGGUGGAAUUCCCGGUGUAGCGGUGAAAUGCGUAGAGAUCGGGAGGAACAUCAGUGGCGAAGGCGGCCACCUGGGACAACACUGACGCUGAGGCACGAAAGCGUGGGGAGC
rnacentral:rRNA from 1 species